AUUGGAUCAUUACUUCAUUCGAUUCCAACUUUUCUUAACUUGAUAAUCAAGACUCGAAGAAGAAGAAGAAUUUCAAGAUGUUAAGAAUAAUUCUGCUAACCAUACUGGUUGCCCUUACCAAUGCCCAGGUUAAAGUUGUUGAUGCAUCAUUCGUAAAACAACCAAUUAUACCGAUAUGUAAACUAACGUCGUCGGUUUUAGAAGACCCCUUGAAAAUAAACUCAGCGGAUACAGAAAAUUCAACACCACUAACAGACGAGAUGGCGGCCAAAAUUUUAGCAUCCGACGAAACAGCGGAUGCUUCCGCCAGUUUGAGGACAAAGAGAUCAGAAAGUGUAGCUGCCUUGGCCCGAGUCGAAUUGGCAGAAGCCACUGGAAGUAUUCUUGCUUUACCUGCAAAAUUGGCAAAAACCCCAUGCCCUAAUUACCCGGCGGCUAACUCCUAUUAUGCUCAAGAUGUUUGUCCUCAUAGAAGGGAAUUGUUGACAUCCUUUUACAGUGAUGGAUAUUGCAGAGUUAUCUUUCCUAACUGGCAGAGAAAAUACCCGACCCGAUGCCUAUGCAACGAAUGUCUAACAGGAUGCAAACCAAUAAAUGGGCGUCGUAACUUGUGUCGACCAACAAAAUAUAGUAAACACAAUGUUUGGGCGUUUUGUCGUGUACGAGUCUUUUUGGGAUGGAAAUGGGUAUGGACAUGGCAAAUCAAGAAAGUUACAAUUUCACUUCCCGAUGGUGACUGUGAUUGUAAAUCAUACCGAUCAAAAUGUUAGAUUUUGUUUUAAAAGGAUAUGCCAUGAAAGUUCACAGGAAACCCAAUCUGUUUUAAAAACAGACCCUAUUUCGUUUCGUUUUUUAUAGUUCAAAAUUUCAUUUUACUUGUCUACUACACUAAGAUCUGGAAGAGUUGUUAUCAUUGACGUGUUCUGGGUGAUGUGGGGGAUUAGCCAAUGAGGUGGUCUGUUACGGCGAUCUUUUGACGUGAGGUGCACGGAAAUAUAGGUAAUUGACUAGAAACAUCAAUGUUGAUUGGUUAAUCAAAUGUCUGACGUCACAGGGUCAAAACCUGCUCGUAUGACCUCUGAUACGACCUCCCAAAACAACUGGUCAGAUCUUCAUGUAGUAGAGGCCACCGAAAGUAUAAAAAAAACGAAACGAAAUAUAGAUAUAUUUUUAUCAGAUUGCUGUAAACCAUAUAACCGGUGAAAUUAUUUAGAAUCUUUUCUUAAAAAAGCAUUAUGAUAGAUUAGAUAAAGAGUUGACAGUUCUUGCUAUAAUAGUUAAAAAAAAUAGAUAAUGUAAAUAGAAUAUGUUGAAAAUUUCAGUCAAAUUUCUUCCCUCUGAAAAGUGAUAUUAGCUUUUGAAUUUUAGGCUAGCCCCGAUCAUCAUUACUAAAGAAAAAAAGUCUCGAUUAUCCAUUAUGACGUUUAAUUAUUUUUCGAAAAACUGUUAAUUAAUGUCUUAUUAAUAAUUUAGAUAACAUUUAAGGCCUAAAGAAAGACCUGCAAUAGGCAGAUUUAGCUCCUGCAUACUGUAUGUUUAAUUUUUUCAAAAGGCUUGAAGAUAGAAACAGAAUAAUCAAAUUGUAAAGCUUAUGGUAAAUUCAUCACAAGGUCAUUUGUAUAAGGCUAAGCUACAUAAAUUUAAUAUUAUGUUUUUGUUUAAUUGUAUUUCCAAUUUUAACAUGUAUUUCUAAUUUUAAGUGUAACUUUGUAUUUGUGAACUGUGCUUAAAAUGGCUAUUAAAUGUCUUGGUAAAAUC